rnacentral:tRNA from 1 species
AGCCCCGUAGUGUAGCGGCCAAUCAUACCGGACUCUGGAUCCGGUGACCCCAGUUCGAAUCUGGGCGGGGCUA